GUUAGGUUAAAUCCGCUCUCCAUGCCACAAUGGCACCACAUUUUGGUGUGAUAUCGUGCAACCACUUGAAAAGAAAAUUGAAAAUAUGCAUCCUUUUUUUUUGUAUUGUUUGCACUCUAAAUGCUGCAACUCUGCAGAGUUUAAUGCAGCAGAUGGUGCAGAUUUUGUCUUUUUGUAGACGGUUCAACUCUUUUUGAACCCUUCAUGGUGUAGCCGCCUACACAACUCAUGAAGGUGGAAAAGGCCUAUUUUGAGUGAGAAGUUUAUCCUUCGAAAGAGCUUCCAGUGUGACAGUUAAAGGGUGAAUUAUUCAACCCAUUUGUGUGAUUAAUUACGGAUUUUUCGCACCCUCGACACAGAGCGCUGUUAAGAACAUAGAGAAUCUAUUAUCAAAUAUCAUUCAUGACAAUAAAAUGAUAUUUUGUCGAGGGUUGGUGAAGUCUUUGUCGAGGGUUGGUGGAUCGAAACAGCAGAUUCGUCCUGGACUGUGCACAAACUACAUUAUGUGCAAUUUUUCGUCAGCUCCCAAACGUAGAGCGAAACUGUUCUUCCGAUUCACCAUUUUUCGACAAAGACCUCCCAGUUUGUCAUUGUGAUUCGAAUUGCAUUUUCAAUGCAAUUGCUGUGUUCUAGGAUUCGUUAUGAGUAGCGACGUGAAUUAAAACUCCAUAUUAAUAGAUGGAAUGCUUACUGUUAAUGCCAAUUAGAGCUAACGGACCGUUCUGCCUAUAUCACGUACACAUUGUAGGUCUACCCUUUACUGCUUUAUGCAAUCAAUG